rnacentral:rRNA from 1 species
GUUGCUUCGGCGGGCCCGCCGUUUUCGAACGGCCGCCGGGGAGGCCUCGCGCCCCCGGGCCCGCGCCCGCCGAAGACCCCAACAUGAACGCUGUUCUGAAAGUAUGCAGUCUGAGUUUGAUUAUCAUAAUCAGUUAAAACUUUCAACAACGGAUCUCUUGGUUCCGGCAUCGAUGAAAAACGCANCGAAAUGCNAUAAGUAAUGUGAAUUGCAGAAUUCAGUGAAUCAUCGAGUCUUUGAACGCACAUUGCGCCCCCUGGUAUUCCGGGGGGCAUGCCUGUCCGAGCGUCAUUGCUGCCCUCAAGCACGGCUUGUGUGUUGGGCCCCCGUCCCCGGUUCUCCCCGGGGACGGGCCCGAA